rnacentral:rRNA from 1 species
GACGAACGCUGGCGGCGUGCUUAACACAUGCAAGUCGAACGGAAAGGCCCUGCUUUUGUGGGGUGCUCGAGUGGCGAACGGGUGAGUAACACGUGAGUAACCUGCCCUUGACUUUGGGAUAACUUCAUGCAACUGGGGCUAAUACCGGAUAGGAGCUCCUGCUGCAUGGUGGGGGUUGGAAAGUUUCGGCGGUUGGGGAUGGACUCGCGGCUUAUCCGCUUGUUGGUGGGGUAGUGGCUUAGCAAGGCUUGGAAGGGUGGCCGUCCUGGGAGGGUGACCGGCCACAUUGGGACUGAGAUGCGGCCCAGACUCCUACGGUACGCAGCAGUGGAGAAUAUUGCACAAGGGGCGGAAGCCUGAUGCAGCAACGCCGCGUGCGGUAUGACGGCCUUCGGUUUGUAAUCCGCAUCCGCCUGUGACGAAGCGUGAGUGACGGUAAUGGGUAAAGAAGCACCGGCUAACUACGUG